rnacentral:rRNA from 1 species
UACAGAGGGUGCGAGCGUUAAUCGGAAUUACUGGGCGUAAAGCGUGCGUAGACGGUUAUUUAAGUCGGAUGUGAAAUCCCCAGGCUCAACCUGGGAACUGCAUCCGAUACUGGAUGGCUUGAAUCCGGGAGAGGGAUGCAGAAUUCCAGGUGUAGCGGUGAAAUGCGUAGAUAUCUGGAGGAAUACCGGUGGCGAAGGCGGCAUCCUGGACCGGCAUUGACGCUGAGGAGCGAAAGCUAGGGGAGCAAACGGG